rnacentral:tRNA from 1 species
AGGAAUUUAGGUUAACACAGACCAAGAGCCUUCAAAGCUCUAAGUAAGUACAGAGUACUUAACUCCUG